GAUGAACGCUGGCGGCGUGCCUAAUACAUGCAAGUCGAGCGAACGGACGAGAAGCUUGCUUCUCUGAUGUUAGCGGCGGACGGGUGAGUAACACGUGGAUAACCUACCUAUAAGACUGGGAUAACUUCGUGAAACCGUAGCUAAUACCGGAUAAUAUUUUGAACCGCAUGGUUCAAAAGUGAAAGACGGUCUUGCUGUCACUUAUAGCUGGAUCCGCGCUGCAUUAGCUAGUUGGUAAGGUAACGGCUUACCAAGGCAACGAUGCAUAGCCGACCUGAGAGGAUGAUCGGCCACACUGGAACUGAGACACGGUCCAGACUCCUACGGGAGGCAGCAGUAGGGAAUCUUGCACAAUGGGCGAAAGCCUGACGGAGCAACGCCGCGUGAGUGAAGAAGGUCUUCGGAUCGUAAAACUCUGUUAUUGGGGAAGAAAAGAUGUGUAAUAAAAUGUGCAUGUCUUGACGGUACCUAAUCAGAAAGCAACGGCUAACUACGUG
rnacentral:rRNA from 1 species